GCUCAUGUGAAUUUGUCUUUUUUUUCGCGGUUAAACUGAAUGUAUGUUUGUCUCCUAAAGGAAACGGCAUUGUGUAGUAAAGACUAGCAUAAUUAUUUUGAGGCUGUUGAAGUGGUAACUGUUAAAAGUAUGUUUUACAUGUAAUAUUUCAGACUUGUCGAGCUCCUGUCUUCAUUGUCCUCGCGCUGAGAGUUAAAGACACAGAAGCUGUUUGUGUGAGGAGUCACAGACCUGUGUGAGGAUGAGGAGGAGGUGUUCUUCUGAAGAGAGGGACAGACGGUUUAAGGCAAGUAAACUUCAGAAUUUCAUGUUAUCAGUUGUUGUUGUGUUUUACUAAGAGUAAAAUGUUUGUUUUUUGUUUUUGUAGAUGUUAAAAGCAAGAGACAUGGGAGAGCAUCAUUCCUUUGAGAUUUUAUAAAUCAAACCAACUUUGGAGUUGAUCAUUGAUGAGAUUUGGAGAGUCAUUAUUCUUGGUCUUCGCUCUUAGAGGCCACUGAUGAAGAACAGGCGGUGACUGGAUGAAUCCUGGUCAGAGAAGAGAAUCUUCUUUCCCCUAAACUGAUGCAGCGGUGGUUUUAAAGGAGGAUGCUGGCCUGGAUGAUGUAGAAGAUGUCACAUGCUGUGCUGAUGGGGUUUCUUCAUGAUUACGUCAGUUAUGCUAAAGAGAUCAUGAAAAUUGACCGUGAUGCAUGAUCUGUAUUCAUGGACUAUGAAACAAACUGUAAGUGUAUAAUUUGUUAAAAAAAAAAAAGUUAAAUGCUUUUUCUGUGUUGUUUAGUAGAAGAGUUUACACUCUGUCAUUCAUACACCUGCUCACAUUCUUUCACACACACACACACAUGCGUCUGUUAAAUGUUAUAAAAUCAAAGUUAAUGUUGUGAUUUAUUUGUGUACUGUCAUGCCAGAAUAGUUGGAAAAAAACUUAACUAAUUGUAAAUUUAUUGUAUUUGUUUUCGUAUAUUUUAAUACAAUAUAUACAAUUGAACAAAGUCCAAUUUGAUCUUAAGUUAUAUUCAUCAAAUGUUCAAUGCUUUGUUUAUGAACUCUGUAGCUGUUAAAGCCAUCCUUUUCUGCAUUUCUUCUAACAUGUUACUUUUUGACUUUUCUCGUUUUUAAUAAAUAUUUUCCUUUUGGUAAUUAUUAUUUGUGUGUAAAAGUGAUAUUUAAAAUGAACAACAUUUGUAGGUUUAAUGCCUAGC